AUACAUGCAGUCGAGCGGACGGAUGGGAGCUUGCUCCCUGAAGUCAGCGGCGGACGGGUGAGUAACACGUGGGCAACCUGCCUGUAAGACUGGGAUAACUUCGGGAAACCGGAGCUAAUACCGGAUAAUGCAUAACCUCUCAUGAGGUUAUGCUGAAAGAUGGUUUCGGCUAUCACUUACAGAUGGGCCCGCGGCGCAUUAGCUAGUUGGUGAGGUAACGGCUCACCAAGGCAACGAUGCGUAGCCGACCUGAGAGGGUGAUCGGCCACACUGGGACUGAGACACGGCCCAGACUCCUACGGGAGGCAGCAGUAGGGAAUCUUCCGCAAUGGACGAAAGUCUGACGGAGCAACGCCGCGUGAGUGAUGAAGGUUUUCGGAUCGUAAAACUCUGUUGUUAGGGAAGAACAAGUGCCGGAGUAACUGCCGGCACCUUGACGGUACCUAACCAGAAAGCCACGGCUAACUACGUGCCAGCAGCCGCGGUAAUACGUAGGUGGCAAGCGUUGUCCGGAAUUAUUGGGCGUAAAGCGCGCGCAGGCGGUCUCUUAAGUCUGAUGUGAAAGCCCACGGCUCAACCGUGGAGGGUCAUUGGAAACUGGGGGACUUGAGUGCAGAAGAGGAAAGUGGAAUUCCACGUGUAGCGGUGAAAUGCGUAGAGAUGUGGAGGAACACCAGUGGCGAAGGCGACUUUCUGGUCUGUAACUGACGCUGAGGCGC
rnacentral:rRNA from 1 species